rnacentral:sRNA from 1 species
AUGUAAAACUGGUACAGUGUGGUUCUGAGCGCGGCGUCCGCGCCCACCUGAUAGCUUCUGGCUACGUUUUGUUAGCC